rnacentral:misc_RNA from 1 species
CCUUCUUUGACGCACUUGCGCGAGUGUCUUCGCACACUGGCAAGCGCGCAUAAAACACCGCCACUUGUGCUCGUGCGUGUGUGCCCACAUCCGCGUGCCCGCCACCUCAGCACUCCGAAGGAGGCAUUCGCCAUCCGCUUUUCUUCCUUGUGCUCUUCCCUAAAGUCAUCCCAGCUCUCCGUGAUCACCCUCACACUCUUUCUGCUCUUGAGUGCGCUGUAGUUGUGCUGUCGUACUCGUGUGGCCGCAUUGAACGCUUACUCUUGCAAGAGGGGGAGGCCGGGACCUGCAGUACAAGGACACAUCGCAGUAGCUGCGCUUGUCUAGGCACGCUAGCUCGUAGUAGCAACAAGAACCAGAGACAUUGCGUGCAUGGCGGUACACCUGGUACGGACCUACACACAGGGCUACGUAGGCACUUGAGCCAAACGGAGUAGACGAGACCUCUCUUUUCACAGGCGCACGCCGGCCUUCUUUUUUUUUUUCCUUUUCGUAGUAGUACCGUCGUGGUUGAGGGCAGUGAAGUGCGAGCGAGAGCGCGAGAGACCGCGCGUGCGCAGAGAGAGGGCGACGCAGAAUUGCACGCUUCCCCACACACGUGGCACCUUACCAACAGCCGUCGUGACUUCCUCCCUUCUGUUGCCUCCCGCCCACGCCCUCCCUUCCCCCACUCGCAUCUUCCGCCCUCGUUUCCUAGUAGCAAGCAAACGAUAAACGAGACGCGUCUUCGCCGCUGCCGUCUCCCCCUUCCUUUUACUUUCUAGUGUUUCUGUAGGUGUCUUGUCUUUGGCGGGCUCUCUAACAGCACCGCUGGGCGCUCCCCCUCUCUUGCUCUCAGCCCCACUGCAUCCGUUUUUUUUUCCUCUUUUUUUUUCGUAGUUCUCCAGCACUGCGGCACGAUAUACUUUGCGCGCUUCGGAUGUGUGCAUGGGACGCCAACAAGCAGCGCCACCAGAUCUAGGGUACGCCUCCGCUAGAGGCUUCGAUUUGCCAAGCUUAGACACACCGACACAGCCGCGAAGAACAACAAGGGGAACAUGAUGCGCCGUAGCUCGCUGCUGUUCAGUGGCGGCAUGGUGGAGUACCACGAGUGGCACCUCCACGAGCCACUGCUGCAGAACUACGAGGGGUGGCGUAUUCUCGACAACCCGAAGUACGAGCAGAAGUCUGACGCAUACAUUUACGACUUCAUGGGUAGCGUCCGACACCUCGACCCCAUCAUCGACGACCCGCGGCUGACGCACAAGCAGCGCGUUUGCCGCCUGUACCGGUGGUCAUUGAAAGAGAUUCAGAUGUGGAUGAUCCAGCUCAAUGCUCACAAGCUCAACCUUGCGCACAAGGUGAUCCGGCGGCGGUUUGAGAAGUAUCGCUACGUGACCGAUCCGGCCACGUGCGACAUGAUGGUGCGCCAGACGCAGAAGUACCUGCGCGACAACGCGAACUUUCACUACAUGCGCCGCAACAACUCCUCGCCGUGGAGCACGUACACGCUGGCGAACCCGAUGUUCCACCCGGACAACUCUCUCGUGUACGACCACUGGACGCACCCAGAGGUCAUGUGGUACGACGACGCGAAGCUGCACCGAUGGACGGCGCAUCACCCCUUGUACGCCGGCCCUGGCGAGGCGUCCGAGCGCUUCGGUGACAUGGAUGUAGCGCCGCACCUGCGUGGACUUGUGUGGGCCAUGUUCAUGAGUUUGUUUGCGUGGUGCUUCUACCAGCUGCUGGGCGGGCCAGGGAUGAGGGAUGACAAGCACUUCGAGGAGUGGACGCAGCAGUUCGACGAGAACCUUGCCGGCGCCCUCUACGCCGAGGAGCGCAAUUCGCGUUCGCGUAACAGCGUGCUCCGGGGCGACUGGGAUAGGAUCCUGGGCGUUUCUUCCACGCUGGACGGCUUCUACCGGAACAAUUUGUCUGUCGUGGACAAGGCCAACUACCCGGCGUAGUAGACUGCGCUGACGCGCACUACGAAAACAAAAACAAAGGCGCGCAUGGGGCGGCCGGUCGGCAGAUGAGGUGGGGGGCCUGCGUGCUUGCCCGUGGACGUGUGUGGGCCUGGCCGAGUCGGUUCUUCCCGUUGCGCUGUGCGCUCUUCUUGUACCUCUCCCUUUCUCUUGCUUCUUUUCUUUGGCUGCAGUAGUCUUGCCGACCCCUGUACAGUUCAAGCAGUAUCGCGCUAUCAAGCAAGACACCACCAUAGUGAUGGAGGGGAGCACAUGGCGCGCGUGGGUGGGGAGCAGCGACACCGCAGUCCGACGUUGGCGUCUGCGCGCGGAAGUGCGGGCGUGCCUAUGAUCGCGAGGUACUAGCUCUCUUGUUCUCCUUGCUGCGGUGACUAUGUGGGUGCGUGUCUUGGUGUACCUCUUCGUGGACGUCUCACGGGCUUCUCUGGCUAGGCAGCAGCGGACAGUGUUCGAUGAUGGCAGGCAGAUCACACGCACACGACAAAUAGCUGUCCAGCACUCGCAGCUGAAGUGCCGCGUGCUGCUGAGCAGGUGCUAUGAGUCGCUUCCUUCGAGUUGCCCGUCUCUCAGUGGUGCCUGCAGCUGCCUUGAUGGUGCUACAGGCUCGUUGGUAAUCCCUCUCUCUUCUUGCCCCCUGUCUUUUUCAUCCCUCUUUCUGCACCUCACCUGGAUGAUUGUCGGUGUGUGUUCGCUUGCCGUGCUCGACGUGCUCUACACAACACCGCUCUUUUUUUUUCGGUGCUUCUACUUACGGGGGCUCGUUGACGGACAAUGCCUCUCUCUUCGGUCUGAUACAUCAACGCACACCCAUAUCUCUCACACACACAUACACACAAG